GGAGGAGGGUGUUGAAGACUGAAGACGAGGUGCUGGGGGAGAUGUUUUGUUUUUUCAAACCGACACCCAAAUCCUUUCUGCCCCCAGCGACCUGUGUGCAGGACUGAUUGGAGGGCUCGGUGUGACACCAAGUGGCAACAUCGGCGCCAACGGGGUCGCGAUCUUCGAGUCGGUCCACGGGACGGCCCCCGACAUCGCGGGCAAGGACAUGGCCAACCCCACGGCCCUGCUGCUCAGCGCGGCGAUGAUGCUGCGCCACAUGGGGAUGUUCGACCACGCCGGGCGCAUCGAGGCCGCCUGCUUCGCCACUAUCAAGGGAGGCAAGAGUUUGACCAAAGACUUGGGAGGUAAUGCCAAGUGCUCCGACUUCACAGAAGAAAUCUGCCAGCGAGUGAAGGAUUUAGAGUAAGGCUCCCGCCGACGUGUCCGCACCAGCCACUCCUAACGCCGCCACGUCAGCCGCCUGAGAGCACGCCCGUGUGCGCUGGUCCCCGUCCCCGACCGAGUCCACUCCAAUCGGCCUUUUAACAAACCCGAGCAGAGGAUGCAGGCGACGCCCGAGGCCUGCUCCCAAGUGCUCGUCUGGUGGGUCGUGUCUAUUUGGUAUAUAUUUUUUGUAAACUCUAAGCGGACUGUAUCAUUUGCCAUUGUUAACCAUUUACACUUCAGUUAAAACAGUUUUUCCUCAGCUGUAAAUAUGACACAGAAUUAAUAAGAAAACAUCUCACUUUUCAAAGAAAAAGUUUUCCUUAGCUUAUGAAAAAUAUACUGGAAAUAAAACAAUACUGACGUAAUAGCA